CGGCGCACGGGUGAGUAACACGUAUCCAACCUGCCCUUUACUCGGGGAUAGCCUUUCGAAAGAAAGAUUAAUACCCGAUAGCAUAAUGAUUCCGCAUGGUUUCAUUAUUAAAGGAUUCCGGUAAAGGAUGGGGAUGCGUUCCAUUAGGUUGUUGGUGAGGUAACGGCUCACCAAGCCUUCGAUGGAUAGGGGUUCUGAGAGGAAGGUCCCCCACAUUGGAACUGAGACACGGUCCAAACUCCUACGGGAGGCAGCAGUGAGGAAUAUUGGUCAAUGGGCGCUAGCCUGAACCAGCCAAGUAGCGUGAAGGAUGAAGGCUCUAUGGGUCGUAAACUUCUUUUAUAUAAGAAUAAAGUGCAGUAUGUAUACUGUUUUGUAUGUAUUAUAUGAAUAAGGAUCGGCUAACUCCGUGCCAGCAGCCGCGGUAAUACGGAGGAUCCGAGCGUUAUCCGGAUUUAUUGGGUUUAAAGGGAGCGUAGGUGGACUGGUAAGUCAGUUGUGAAAGUUUGCGGCUCAACCGUAAAAUUGCAGUUGAUACUGUCAGUCUUGAGUACAGUAGAGGUGGGCGGAAUUCGUGGUGUAGCGGUGAAAUGCUUAGAUAUCACGAAGAACUCCGAUUGCGAAGGCAGCUCACUGGACUGCAACUGACACUGAUGCUCGAAAGUGUGGGUAUCAAACAGGAUUAGAUACCCUGGUAGUCCACACAGUAAACGAUGAAUACUCGCUGUUUGCGAUAUACAGUAAGCGGCCAAGCGAAAGCAUUAAGUAUUCCACCUGGGGAGUACGCCGGCAACGGUGAAACUCAAAGGAAUUGACGGGGGCCCGCACAAGCGGAGGAACAUGUGGUUUAAUUCGAUGAUACGCGAGGAACCUUACCCGGGCUUAAAUUGCAGUGGAAUGAUGUGGAAACAUGUCAGUGAGCAAUCACCGCUGUGAAGGUGCUGCAUGGUUGUCGUCAGCUCGUGCCGUGAGGUGUCGGCUUAAGUGCCAUAACGAGCGCAACCCUUAUCUUCAGUUACUAACAGGUCAUGCUGAGGACUCUGGAGAGACUGCCGUCGUAAGAUGUGAGGAAGGCGGGGAUGACGUCAAAUCAGCACGGCCCUUACGUCCGGGGCUACACACGUGUUACAAUGGGGGGUACAGAAGGCAGCUAGCGGGUGACCGUAUGCUAAUCCCAAAAGCCUCUCUCAGUUCGGAUCGAAGUCUGCAACCCGACUUCGUGAAGCUGGAUUCGCUAGUAAUCGCGCAUCAGCCACGGCGCGGUGAAUACGUUCCCGGGCCUUGUACACACCGCCCGUCAAGCCAUGGGAGCCGGGGGUACUUGAAGUACGUAACCGCAAGGAUCGUCCUAGGGUAAAACUGGUGACUGGGGGCUAAGUCGUAACAAGGUAGCC
rnacentral:rRNA from 1 species